rnacentral:lncRNA from 1 species
AUCAGCUGGAAAGCACGAGAAAUACAUGGACUCACCAUGGGGAGAUACACGUUCCUGAGAUCUCACUUUGUAUCUGAUGUCUGCUUGACACUAAACUGUUGCUAUGCUGAUUCCACUCCAUUUGGCUGUUCAUUGCGAUGAAUAUAUGGGGGCUGUAUUUCCAAAUGUCCUGGGCACCCACAGCACUAAGAUCUGACCACCAGCUAGAUCCACCAGGCCUUGGAGUCCCUUGUAAAGCCUCUUCAACAUCUGACCAUUCCCUGCCUCUGCUUACUUGUCCACUUGAACCAGUUAUCUACGGGAGUCCUUAAUGUACCGGGAUGACCUAAAAAAGUGAUACUGCAAAACAAGAAAAUGGAAGUGUGCAACUCUCAAUGAGGACAGCUGGCAUCCCUCCUUUUCCCAUGAAAUGAGGCACACCUGGUAAAAGUGUUGCGCAUUCUG